rnacentral:rRNA from 1 species
AGCUCCAAUAGCGUAUAUUAAAGUUGUUGCAGUUAAAAAGCUCGUAGUUGGAUUUCUGGUGUGAGGGAACGGUCCGACCUCUGGUGGGUACUUGCUUCCUCUCACGCCAUCCUUGAGUGGUGCGUUCUGGCAUUCAGUUGUCGGGACGUUAGCCGCUCAUCGUUUACUGUGAGAAAAUUAGAGUGUUCAAAGCAGGCUUAUGCCGUUGAAUAUAUUAGCAUGGAAUAAUAAGAUAGGACUUCGGUACUAUUGUGUUGGUUUGCGCACCGAUGUAAUGAUCAAUAGGGACAGUUGGGGGUAUUCGUAUUCAGUUGUCAGAGGUGAAAUUCUUAGAUUUACGGAAGACGAACUACUGCGAAAGCAUUUACCAAGGAUGUUUGCA